GAUGAACGCUGGCGGCGUGCCUAAUACAUGCAAGUCGAGCGAACAGAUGAGGAGCUUGCUCCUCUGACGUUAGCGGCGGACGGGUGAGUAACACGUGGAUAACCUACCUAUAAGACUGGGAUAACUUCGGGAAACCGGAGCUACUACCGGAUAAUAUAUUGAACCGCAUGGUUCAAUAGUGAAAGACGGUUUUGCUGUCACUUAUAGAUGGAUCCGCGCCGCAUUAGCUAGUUGGUAAGGUAACGGCUUACCAAGGCAACGAUGCGUAGCCGACCUGAGAGGGUGAUCGGCCACACUGGAACUGAGACACGGUCCAGACUCCUACGGGAGGCAGCAGUAGGGAAUCUUCCGCAAUGGGCGAAAGCCUGACGGAGCAACGCCGCGUGAGUGAUGAAGGUCUUCGGAUCGUAAAACUCUGUUAUUAGGGAAGAACAAAUGUGUAAGUAACUAUGCACGUCUUGACGGUACCUAAUCAGAAAGCCACGGCUAACUACGUG
rnacentral:rRNA from 1 species